rnacentral:rRNA from 1 species
GCCUAACACAUGCAAGUCGAACGAAGUCUUCGGACUUAGUGGUGCACGGGUGCGUAACGCGUGGGAAUCUGCCCUUAGGUACGGAAUAACUCAUGGAAACGUGUGCUAAUACCGUAUGAUGUCUUCGGACCAAAGAUUUAUCGCCUAGGGAUGAGCCCGCGUUGGAUUAGCUAGUUGGUGGGGUAAAGGCCCACCAAGGCGACGAUCCAUAGCUGGUCUGAGAGGAUGAUCAGCCACACUGGGACUGAGACACGGCCCAGACUCCUACGGGAGGCAGCAGUGGGGAAUAUUGGACAAUGGGCGAAAGCCUGAUCCAGCAAUGCCGCGUGAGUGAUGAAGGCCUUAGGGUUGUAAAGCUCUUUUACCCGGGAAGAUAAUGACUGUACCGGGAGAAUAAGCCCCGGCUAACUCCG